GCUUACGGCCACACCGCCUGGUUCACGCCCGAUCUCGUUUGAUCUCGGAAGCUAAGAUAGGUUGGGCCUGGUUAGUACUUGGAUGGGAGACCGUCUAGGAAUACCAGGUGCUGUAAGGC
rnacentral:rRNA from 1 species